UACAGAGGUCUCAAGCGUUGUUCGGAUUCAUUGGGCGUAAAGGGUGCGUAGGCGGCGCGGUAAGUCGGGGUGUGAAAUCUCGGAGCUUAACUCCGAAACUGCAUUCGAUACUGCCGUGCUUGAGGACUGGAGAGGAGACUGGAAUUUACGGUGUAGCGGUGAAAUGCGUAGAUAUCGUAAGGAAGACCAGUGGCGAAGGCGGGUCUCUGGACAGUUCCUGACGCUGAGGCACGAAGGUCAGGGGGAGCAAACGGGG
rnacentral:rRNA from 1 species